rnacentral:rRNA from 1 species
AUGGCGCUCCGGCAGAUCUGCGUGCGCGGCCUGUGCGUGUGCCUCCUCCUGGCCGUCGCUCUCGCCGGCGGCGUCCCGAGCCCUCCGCCGCGAGCCGCCGCCGUCCUCGCCACCGUGAACUGCUACAAGACGGUGACCGGGGUGCCGAGGUGGUGCGCGGGGGAGCUCAUCCGGGCGCUCUUCCCCGGCGGCAAGGGCUCCCUCGUCAGCCACUACUGCUGCGAGCUGCUCGCCUGCGUCCGCGAGUGGACGUGCGACUCCGCGAUCCGCGGCGUCUGCGGCCCGCCCCCGGCGCUAGGCAUCGAGUGUCCGCCGACGCGGGCGUCGCUGUCCGCGGCCGUCUCGACCGCCACGACUGAUUUUGGUCCAAGACACGAUUUGCUAGCAAAUGUUGCACAUGUGGACGUGGACGGUGGCCACGGUGGUACACUUUUGCGCGCACGGAGGAUAGAGGUAGGCCUGCCGGUCAGCUCCCCGGAGGUCUCCAGCAAUAAACAAACGAUAGAGGCGGUCUCCGAUGAUGGAGGCGGCCUAGACGACGAGUUGGCAGCCCGCGCCGUUCAAUGUCAACUUGGCGAUGGAAUAGGCGCAGGCGCACUUCAAUACCAGUUUUCUUAUAAUCCUCUUUUGAGGUUGAAGCUGGUGGCUGGCUGCCGCUACUUAUUGGAGAACACACGCUGCUUUACUACAGCUAGAUCUGCCAACUCCAAGAUGCGCCACCUCCGUCUCCGCCGAUGUCGGGGUCCGCAGUCACCAUCUCGUGCUCCCCCGCCACAAGCAGCGUCACGUAUUCUUCCAAAUCACCGUCUAGUCCCUGACACUUGCCUCCAUGGAUACACCGGCCCAAACACCCUCGGCGUCUAA